GCACUAGGGUCAGGGCAUGGAUUUUCUGAAGGUUCAGUGUUUCACCCAGUCCUGAACUUUCUCUCCGCUGAGAUCCAGAUGUGCAUCUGAAGGCUGUGGUUAGAAUCUUACAGAGGGGAGCUACAAUCAUCUGCAAGGGCAUUUGGCAUCCUACUUAUUCUCCCUUCAUUAAAGACCAAAGGACAUUGUUGGUGGGAAAAUGGUUCCUGUGGAGUUGGGGGAAGGUGACCACCUGCACCAAGAAUAGAAACGAUUCUUCCCUCUCUCUGGAUGCUGCCCUCCCAGUUCUUUGAAGCCUGGCUUUACUGCAUACUCCAACUUCAGUAUCUGAAAAUGUAUGGAAUUUCUCUCUAUUUAACUCUCAGUGGAUCUUCUUUUCAACACUUAUUUCAGUAAGUUUUUUUUUUAAUAUUUAUUUUUUAGUUGUAGUGGGACACAAUAACUUUAUUUAUUUUUAUGUGGUGCUGAGGAUCGAACCCAGGGCCCCGUACAUGUGAGGCAAGCAUUCUACUGCUGAGCCACCACUCCAGCCCCUCACAGAGAAACAGUGCCACUUCUAGUGAAAGAUAUUUGGCAUCCCAUCCAGGCCCAUGGCAUUCGAGAACCAAGAUGGCCCCCAUCUCUAGCAGGGCAGCAGAUGCACCUGUGGGAAAGCAGGUUUGGGCUGGAACAGAGCCAGAGGACAUUGUCAUGGUCUAAAGAGAAGAAAUCAAGCCAGAAGUGAGAGGCCAUGAGGUGUUUGGAUUCUGGUGAUCAUGCACAAGGGUGAUACUCCCAGCUCCCCGCCAUCACUCCCUCUGAGUAGCUUUUCUGUGUGAUCAACAGCCUUGCCUCCUGAUUAUAAAAGUUCACUGUAGAAUGUUUGGAAAAUAAAUAAGAGUAUGAAGAAUAAAAUACUUUACCAUG